rnacentral:tRNA from 1 species
GCCCCGGUAGCUCAACGGUAGAGCACCCGGCUGUUAACCGGUAGGUUGAGGGUUCAAAUCCCUCCUGGGGCG